rnacentral:lncRNA from 1 species
CAAAACGACGCUGGAUUUGUCUCUACAACGCUCUUAUGAAACAGUUUCACGGUUCAGUGAUUCUCUCUUGGUUUUGCUCCACAUUCCUCCCAUUUUUCUUUACCUUCGUUUUCUCUUGUCGUUUCAAGGCCGGCACAAGUUCCAAAGUACAAGCUUUUUAUUCGGAUGUUUCUUAUUGCACCUCCAUAUUUCUCCUUCCACUCCCAUACAUAAUCCAAAAAGAUUAUUUUAUUCUUAAAAAAAGCAUUUUGAAUGUAUUUUUUCUAUUUACACUUUCCAUAGUGUAAAAUUUAAAAAAUAAUUUCGACUUCUUAAUCUACAAUCUAUAAUGUAUUUAAAAAAAAUUCAAAUUAUAAAAUUUGAGUAUUUUCAUAUCCAAAAAUAUCUUCUAAAUUUCAUAAUUCAGAAUAUUUGUUUUUAAAAAAACACAUUUAGAUUAUAGAAUUUAAAAGGUAUUUAAAAUAUAUAAAUAUUUUUUAAAUUUUAUAAUCCAAAGUUUUUCCAAAUCACCAAUUCUAAAAUAAAAAAAUAUUAAUAAAAUAAAAAAUACUUUUAAUAUUUUACUAAAUAUGAAGGUGCCACAAGAAACUAACGGAGGUGUAGGAAAGAACAUUGUUUACUCCACUGUUACUAUAUUGGACUGUUGGUCGUCUAUUUAUGUCCAACAACUUUUUUUAAAGCAUAAUAUAUCAUAUAAUCAACUAAAAUAAUAAUAUUAAAAUUUUAAAAAAUAAAUAAUAUGAUAAAAUAAUAAUAAUAAUAUUUACAUUAAAAAUAUAAUUUUAUAUAACAUCAUAUACUAUUAAAUUGUUAUGUCAUUUAUAAACAUUUUAAUAUUUUUUAUCUGAAGGAAACUCUUAAAAAUCUCCCAUGCCACUAUUUUAAUAAAAAAGUAGCAGAAAAAAUACCGAACAAAACUUAAAGACAUUGAUAAUGACCUGGCAUUUAAUAAUCUCUCGUGCUGACAAUGUAUUCCAAAAGAUUCCUAAUAUGUUUCCAAUCAUUUUAAAAACUACAUGGCCCCAAAUUACGUGUGGACAAAAAUAAAUUAAACUAUACUAAAUUGAUAUUGAAGUGCAUUAAAUUAAUACACAAAAAUUGAUCUGUUUUAUAUAAAAAUUAAAUUGAACCUAUGCAAUAGUUCAAUUUAAAAAAUUAAAUUAUUCGUUUUAAUAAUUUAAUGCAUUGUCCUUUUCUAGACUUGUUGGAUGAUUUAAUGUUCUUAGUUUAAAACAAUACAUUUAUGGAGAGUUCGUAAUAGAAGAAGACUGAUAAGUGUUUAAUUUAUCAUUUAUUUUAAAAAUAAAUAUUGUAUGACUAUACAAAUGGCACUAAUUAAAUUAUUAUAAUUACAACUUUACAUUUAAGUCUAAUUUUAAAAGAAUAGAUUUUAUGUUUAGACGAUUUUUUUUUAAAGUAGUUUAUUUAAAUGUUUUGUUUAUUUAGAAUAACAAGAAAACAAACCAUUAUUCACAACAACAAAAAUUUAAUUUUAACUGAGGUUUUUUUUACUAGAGGUUUAAUAAUCUCCGGUAAAUUAUGUACAUACCAGGGGUUUUUUUAACCUCUGAUAAGUCUCGAGGGUUUUUUAAUAAACCGUUGGAGAGUUUUUGAUUUUUCAUUAUGGAGAUUCGUCUUAUAUCUGCAAGUUUUAAAGCUCUGUUAAAAUUGACACGAAAUAAAGGGUUAAAGAGUAAAAGUGUGGUGUGAAGAGUGUGUGUUCUUUGCGCACCGCAUCAACAACAAUUUAUCAAGCUGCAAUUGGACAUUAGAAAAAACCCAAAACGACGCUCGAUUUUUCUGUUUCUAUGUCACGAUUCAUGCACAACGCACUUAUGGAACAGUUUCAUGCUUCAGUGCUUCUCUCUUGCUUUUUGUACUGGUAUGGAUCAGACCGAGCUGAUCGAGAUUCGGUCUCCCUAAUCGAGAGGACUGAGAUCCCAUGGAUGACCUAGCCGACCAACACACUUAACCAUUAACACUCAAAUUAAGGUCAGUGAAGCUAAACUACCAUUAAGAAUUAGGUAAUGCAAUCAUAAGUGUGAUUCAUUCUACCAAUCGGAUCCAAUAAGGUAAGUCCAUUAAAAUAAUAUAAAUAGCGCAUAUUUCAAAAAGAAAAAUACGUCAUUCAUUAUUACUGUACACACCGAGUGCCGAAUAUCUUUUUCACUAACUUUAGCGUCGGAGUGCCUUCUGCAGAUACCUCCCCCAUUUGACAUUCACUCGAUACUGAGAGUCGAAAGAAUAGCACGAAGACCAGAAGAAUCACAAAGAAGCCUUAACAACCUGCCUGAAGGAAGGAGAAAGAUGAAGCCUUUAAUAGUUCUCUAAGUCACAUCUCCCUAACAGGAACACUUUUGUUUUUUUAUUUUGCUCCACAUUCCUCCCAUUUUCCUUUCUCUUCUUUUUCUCUUGUCGUUUCAAGGCCGGCACAAGCUCCAAAGUAGAAGCUUAGCUUGGAUCAUACUAGGGUUUUAGCUUCUUUUCUUCACCUGUUUCUUAUUGCACCUCCAUAGUUUCUCUUACCACCUCCAUAGAUUGGGCGAAAAAACCAUUUUAUUCUUAAUAAAAUUAUUCCAAAUUUUAUAAUUUUGAAAUGUACAUAUUAUUUUUAGCUUUCUGGUCCUACAUACAAACAUGGAUAAGCCCAUAGUUGCAUUUUUUUAAUUAAAAUAAAUAUAUGGUUUUGUUA